UACAGAGGUCUCAAGCGUUGUUCGGAUUCAUUGGGCGUAAAGGGUGCGUAGGCGGCGGGGUAAGUCGGAUGUGAAAUCCCGGGGCUCAACCCCGGAACUGCAUUCGAUACUGCCUUGCUCGAGUACUGGAGAGGAGACUGGAAUUUACGGUGUAGCAGUGAAAUGCGUAGAUAUCGGGAGGAACACCAGUGGCGAAGGCGGCUCUCUGGAACGCAACUGACGCUGAGACGCGAAAGCGUGGGGAGCAAACAGG
rnacentral:rRNA from 1 species